rnacentral:sRNA from 1 species
CUUGGACUGGGAGGAUGAGAUUGGGUUGGUUGGAUUGUUACUAACAGCCAUCACUAUCAGCAUAACCCCUCUCAUUUAUCCAGUGCCUACUGUGUGCUAACUGCUUUUACCUGCAUCAUCUAAUUGAAUGCCCUAUUGGUCCUUGGUGCAGGGGCUGGUUUCUCUUCCUAUUUUGAGUAGCCCUUCCCUUGUCUAGAUCUCCUGACUGCAGGGAUCUUGGAGGCAUGGCUGGACUUUGGGCUGGGACUGUCAGGCCUGCUGGUGGAAGUGAACUGUAGGGUAGGGUGGGGAUUGAGACACAAAGUAGCAUGGUGGCAGAACAGGCAGCAGCUAAGGUGGCCUCGGUUUACCCCAGGAUGAGGUGAUCGGGCGGGAGCUGGAGGCCUCAGGCCAGGUGGGCGGCUGCACAGCCCUGGUGGCUGUGUCCCUGCAGGGAAAGCUGUACGUGGCCAAUGCUGGGGAUAGCAGGGCCAUCUUGGUGCGGAGAGAUGAGAUACGGCCACUGAGCUUCGAGUUCACCCCAGAGACUGAGCGGCAGCGGAUCCAGCAGCUGGUAGGUG